AAUAUUGCACAAUGGGGGAAACCCUGAUGCAGCGACGCCGCGUGAGUGAAGAAGUAUUUCGGUAUGUAAAGCUCUAUCAGCAGGGAAGAAAAUGACGGUACCUGACUAAGAAGCCCCGGCUAACUACGUGCCAGCAGCCGCGGUAAUACGUAGGGGGCAAGCGUUAACAGGAUUUACUGGGUGUAAAGGGAGGGGAGGUGGCGAGUCAAGUCAUAUGUGAAAGCCCGGGGCCCAACCCCGGGAUUGCAUUUGAACCGGGUUUGCUAGAGUGCAGGAGAGGAAAGGGGAAUCCCUAGUUUAGCGGUGAAAUGAGUAGAUAUUAGGAGGAACACCAGUGGCGAAGGCGGCUUACUGGACUGUAACUGACACUGAGGCUCGAAAGCGUGGGGAGCAAACA
rnacentral:rRNA from 1 species